rnacentral:rRNA from 1 species
ACGCGAGCUGGGUUCAGAACGUCGUGAGACAGUUCGGUCCCUAUCCGUCGCAGGCGUAGGAAAUUUGAGAAGACCUGGCCUUAGUACGAGAGGACCGGGAUGGACGUACCUCUGGUGUACCAGUUGUCCUGCCAAGGGCAUGGCUGGGUAGCUAUGUACGGAAUGGAUAAGCGCUGAAAGCAUCUAAGCGCGAAGCCAACUUCAA